UACGAAGGGGGCUAGCGUUGUUUGGAAUCACUGGGCGUAAAGGGCGUGUAGGCGGUCCGCUAAGUCUGAUGUGAAAGCCCGGGGCUCACCCCCGGAAGGGCAUUGGAAACUGGCGGACUCGAGUCCCGGAGAGGAAGGUGGAAUUCCUGGUGUAGCGGUGAAAUGCGUAGAUAUCAGGAGGAAUACCGGUGGCGAAAGCGACUCUCUGGACGGCAACUGACGCUGAGGCACGAAAGCGUGGGGAGCAAACAGG
rnacentral:rRNA from 1 species